AAGUGUGAGAAAUAAAACCGUAUCGGUGAAAGUAGCCUUGGACCACUUGUUUGGGAUUUGGAGUAUGAUAAAAAAAAUUAAGCCUGACGACGGAUGACAAAAGCUAUAUUUUUCCCACGGGUCAAGAAAACGAUUCAGAAAUGGAAAAGCUCGUGCUCCUUGCUGACAAGGAAUGGAAAAAAAACUCAACAUUCUAAUACAUUUUACUCCGAACGAGUCGAUUCUGUAUUGGCUACAAUAAUAGUCCGGCUGAUGGGAACAGCUGAUAGGGAACAGGCAGUAAGCAUGAUGGCGUUAUGGUUACGAAGUUUAGUCAAUGUAACUGCUGCUCAAUCAAAGCGAUCGAGAAAUUAUCAAGCAGAAUGUGAUCCAGAAAGAGAGCGACUCAGAGUCACAUAAAUAUCCUGGAGAUUCCAGUACUUUGAGCAGUAGGAUAAAGGAUUAUCUUUGAUAACUCUUCUGCUUCUACUGCAAUCCAUACGUGAGGAACAAAGCAAGCGGACCAGUAACGAAAUUUAGAAACUCCUAAUAGCUGCCAACGAAGCCAAUGGUGAUGAAACGGGGGCCGGCGGAGGAGAUCAAAUCCCAAGUUGGGGCUCAGCGCUCUUGUGAUCGAAUUUGGCCCUCUAUCGAAAUCGAGUACUUUUGUUCCUUUGAAGUGGUGUAUGACAUAUGCUGAUGCCAGUAGUCGUGAGUAUGUGCACGAUAGAGGAAGGCCUGUCCUGGCGCUGCUACUAAACUGCUUAUCAAACUUGUUCUAUGCACAAAAUUGAAAGCCAACUUUAUCCGGAAGAAUAAUGGAAUUCUGGUGGUGAAAUAUGGACAAUCUCAGGACAAUCAAUAUUUAACUUUCUAUAUAAGUUAUAUGAACGCUGAGUUUGGCCUAAAAUGCACCCCGUGAGGUACCGUGAGAGAAAAAGCAGAGCGACUUAAUAUCUAAAGGUUUAAACAUCUGUAUUUUUUU